GAUCUUGCUCAAUGGGGGAAACGCUGAUCCAGCUAUCCCGCGUGUAGGAUGACUGCCNNNGGGUUNUCAAGUACUUUUGGCAGNUACNAACAUGUAUCUCCUAAUACGAGAUACUGCUGACGGUAUCUGCUGAAUAAGCACCGGCUAACUACGUGCCAACAGCCGCGGUAAUACGUAGGGUGCAAGCGUUAAUCGGAAUUACUGGGCGUAAAGCGUGUGUAGGCGGUUCGGAAAGAAAGAUGUGAAAUCCAAGGGCUCAACCUUAGAACUGCAUUCAUAACUAGCGAACUAGAGUAUGUCAGAGGGGGGUGGAAUUCCGCGUGUACCAGUGAAAUGCGUAGAUAUGAGGAGGAAUACCGAUGGGGAAGGCAGCCCCCUGGGAUAAUACUGAAGCUCAGACACGAAAGCGUGGGGAGCAAACCG
rnacentral:rRNA from 1 species